UACGGAGGUGGCAAGCGUUGCUCGGAAUUACUGGGCGUAAAGGGCGCGUAGGCGGGAUGGCAAGUCGGUCGUGAAAUCCCUCGGCUCAACUGAGGAGCGUCGAUCGAAACUGCCGUUCUUGAGGGUUGCAGAGGAGACUGGAAUUCCCGGUGUAGCGGUGAAAUGUGUAGAGAUCGGGAGGAACACCGGUGGCGAAGGCGGGUCUCUGGGCAACUCCUGACGCUGAGGCGCGAAAGCGUGGGGAGCAAACGGG
rnacentral:rRNA from 1 species